UCCCAGGUGGCUCACUGGUAAAGAAUCCACCUGCAAUGCAGGAGACUCAGGUUCAAUCCCUGGCUUGGGAA
rnacentral:tRNA from 1 species